AUCAACAAGUGUCAGACUCGCUCCCGGUCGUCGACUGCCAACAUGUUGUGGCCGAGAGAUGCUGCUAAGUUAAUUGCCUCUAAAUCCCAGAAUGUCAGUAUUGUAAAUGAAGGAGUAAAGAAAGUGGCUAAUGUCAUCGCAGAGGCCGUGAGGGAUGGCAAGCUGGACAUGGAGGAGUUCAAACAGAAUGAAGUGUUGCCACUGAACAAGGGACUGACUAAGGCACAGCUUGCUGACUGGGUCUUCCUUAUUGACUCACUGAAUUUUAACUUUUGGACACCUCAUGGAGUCCCCAAGUACACCGUUGAGUAUGAAGGACAGAAAAGGAGUGGAUACUUGGCUAUGGUUUCUGCUGUCAACAGGGCUAUUGAUGAGGGGAAGAAGAUGUAUGACCCAAAGUUCUACUCCCAGCUUACUAUUGAAGACAUCAAACAUAUAUUCCGUUCUGACACUGCAUCAACAAUGCCACUGUUUGAAGACCGCGUUAAAGUGCUGAAAGAAGUGGGCGAUAAGCUUAUAGAAAAGUACGAUGGAACAUUUGUGAAUGUGUUACGGAAAGCAGAUGGCAGUGCUGUGAAGCUGAUUGACAUUGUGACAAGUGAAUUCCCAUGCUUCAAUGAUACUGCCACCUUUGAGGGACAGAAAGUGGCCAUUUUUAAAAGAGUGCAGAUUCUUGCCGCUGACUUGUGGAUGUUGUACCGUGGAGAAGGUCUGGGAGCAUUUACGGACAUAGAUUCACUCACCAUGUUUGCUGACUACAGGGUUCCUCAGGCCAUGGCAUAUUUUGGAGUACUGAAAUAUUCCGACAGCUUGAUGGAAAAACUCAAUAAAGAAGAGCUAUUUCAGUCUGGAGAUCGAGAAGAAAAGAGCCAGUUUUUGGAGUAUUCUGGAUACCAGGACAUUGGAUAAAUGAUCCCAUACCUGUACUGAAGAUUCCUAUGAAUGAGUACAGAUAUUGUGGGAUACGUCCAACUUGAUUCCCAUAAUCUUUCAGGUACAGUACUGUAAUUUAGAAUAUUGUGUUUUACUGAGGAUGAGCAAAUUUAUUUUUUAUUUUAUCAUGUCAAUUUGUUUUUUGAAAAUUUUAGUAUACAGUAAUUUGUUUAAAGUUUGUCACUAAUACUCCAUAAUUUAGCCAAUUAUAUACAGUAUAUCUACAUAGUCCCGUCCUGACAUACCUUACCUAACUUAAUCCUUGUCAUUACUUAUCAUUUAUUAGCCAACCUUCCAUUUAAGAUUUUCACACUUCCUGAAGGAUUAAAUAAUUGUCUUUAAAAAGUUCUAUCAUCAUUAUCAAAGUUAAAUCAUUAUCAUCAAAUGGUUAAAUCAUCAUCUUUAAAUGAUUAAACCAUCAUCCUUAAAGGAUCCUAUCAUCAUCCCCAAAGGGUUAAAUCUUGGUCCUCAUAAGAUUAAGUAUGUAGUAGUACUGUACAGGUAUAUGAUAGAGUAUUUGUUACCAUACUGUACCUUGUUAGAUAAGAUAACAGGAAACACGUGUCUUUGUUCCAGCACUGUACGAUGAGGUGGCUGUACAAAUGACAUUGAAGUCUCUACAAUAGCAAUUAAAGAGCUCAGUGGAUAUUAGGCCUUUAAUGACUUUCUUGGGCUAGCACUGGUUGAAACAACAUACUAUUAACCAUUGAUUGUGUACCUGCACAGUCUAUGUACAUGAUGAACCAAUGAAACAUGCACGAUAAUAUACAGUAUACUGUAUAAAUGUCGUUAUGUGUGGGUGUACGAUGUUUGGUUGUGGUCACAUGCAACUAUUUAUUGUCCCUUCCCACUGCCACUUACCGGCAAUAUUAUCAAAGUCGUUGAAAGCUUACUUCCACGGAGAUCCAUAAAGACUUUAGCUACAAGUGAAAUUUUUUGCUGAAACUUCUUUUUGAACUUCAAGAUUAACAAUGCAAGAUGGAUACUGUACUGAGGAAGGUACACAAGACAUAUAGUUCACAGCAGCAGUUCAGCUCAUUCAAGACACGGUUGACCUGUAGUUCAGUUACAAGACACCAGCGACACCACAUGUUGGUGGAAAGAGUGCUGUCUUUGUGUUAUGAACAGAAACUUAAUGCUGGCUGGAGAUUUUCAUUUAAUUUUGACAAAAGAUUUUAAGUUUGAU
rnacentral:misc_RNA from 1 species